AUGGAUGAGUUUAGACGGUUUACGGACACCGACAGUCUGUUGCAUGAAAACAGACGACUGAAAAAUCUUUUGACAAAAGUUUGGACAGAAAAUGUGACCAAAAAGAGAGAACUGGCACAAGCACAGAGCGAGUGUAAUAAACAGAAGGAAAUCAUUGCAGAUCUUGAAAAGAAGGUGAAGGAAGCAAACUGUGCCAUGAACAUUGAAGAGAAAACAGAGCACCAGCCCCAAAGCAAUAUGUCUGUGAGUUCUGCACAGGCAGUACCACGGACUGCUAAAAGGGGGCGCAGGGAAACAAGUGUUGGGUUUCUGAGCAAGAUAGAUGAAAUAAAUGAAUUAUUUCAAAUGUCUUGCGCGGAGGAGACAACGAUACAGGAGCGGACAGAAAGGGAUAUAUAUGCUCCAAAAGAGAUCCUGGAGUCAACAAACUGCAGAAAAAGAAAGGGGAAAGUCAAUUCUGAAUAUUGCGACGAAAGGAUUUGUGACCUACAAAAUGAGAAAGAAGGCCUGCACCAGCAAAUGAGGGAGGAACUGGAGGAGAGAGAUGCCUAUAUUAAAAAGAUGAUGAUUAGCUACCAGGUGAACAUCAAUGAGCUGACUGAUGAGCGAAACCGCUACAUAACGAUAGCUCACAAGGGCGCUGCUGAGCUGGAACAGCUACGUGCACAGAUAAAUGCAGCGGACCUUGAUCACGAACAGAAACCUUCUGAUGCAGUGACCGACUCCCAACAGCCUGCCAAGAAAUGUGACUGUCACGCAACGAAACAACCACACGAAACAAAUGUAGAACUCGAUGACAACGUGCUGUUCUGUGAACUCAAGAAGGUCACAGAAGAGAACAACGCGCUGACGUCAGAACGAGACACCUAUAUCAACCACUUGAAGGUCCUCUUUGACGACUACAAUGCAUUGAGGACCCUAGUCCUCACACUGUCUUCAGAACUGAAUCAGAUUAAGGACCAGAACAACACACUGUCUUCAGAACUGAAUCAGAUGAAGGACCAGAACAACACACUGACUUUAGAACUGAAUCAGAUUAAGAGAACAACACGAUGA
rnacentral:lncRNA from 1 species